UCUGGGAUACCAUUUUGGAAACAGAUGCUAAUACCGGAUAAAAAGCUACUUUCGCAUGAAAGAAGUUUUAAAAAAGGACGGCGUUAAAGCUGUCGCUAAAGGAUGGACCUGCGAUGCAUUAGCUAGUUGGUAAGGUAACGGCUUACCAAGGUGAUGAUGCAUAGCCGAGUUGAGAGACUGAUCGGCCACAUUGGGACUGAGACACGGCCCAAACUCCUACGGGAGGCAGCAGUAGGGAAUCUUCCACAAUGGACGCAAGUCUGAUGGAGCAACGCCGCGUGAGUGAAGAAGGUUUUCGGAUCGUAAAGCUCUGUUGUUGGUGAAGAAGGAUAGAGGUAGUAACUGGCCUUUAUUUGACGGUAAUCAACCAGAAAGUCACGGCUAACUACGUGCCAGCAGCCGCGGUAAAU
rnacentral:rRNA from 1 species